GAAACCAGAAGCAGAAGAGAAGCUGAAUCCUGCGGACCCCCUGGCCCCAUCCUUCACCGUGACCAAUAACGCUGAUCUCAAUGAUUCCCGGGAGAUAAACUUUGAGUACUUGAAACACGUUGUUCUGAAGUUUAUGUCGGCACGGGAAGCAGAGGCCUUUCAUCUUAUUAAAGCUGUAUCAGUAUUGCUCAACUUCUCCGUGGAGGAGGAAAAUCUACUUAAGGAGACACUAGAAUAUAAGAUGUCCUGGUUUGGUUCUAAGCCGGCUCCAAAAGGUUCAGUCUGCCCAUCGAUUUCCAAACCAAGGACACUGUGGUCUUAAGUGGACUGAUCUUUUGGUACUAAACUCCUUUUUGGCUGCACUUUCUAUGAAAAU